rnacentral:ncRNA from 1 species
UAACAUGCUAUGACGGAGCCAAGCAUAGUCCGAAACGUUCAGAGAGCCGGUGGUCGGUGCGAACCGGGUCGUUCUCGAUAUGCGGAGCACUCCUGAGUUGCUGAGGCGAACUUUACAGUAGUCCCAGCCGGCCGGAAGCCGUUACCCUUCCAGGUCUGUCCAUCAGGCAGACCCUUGAGGCUGUCCGCGCGAGCGUGCAGCGAAUUAGGGUGGUACCACGAGAUCAGUAACUCCUCGUCCCUUGU